GGCUUCCAUGAUCAGAACAAGACUUUUUAGCCAAUGUGCUAUCUGCAUUUAUUUUACUACAAAGAGUAAGAAACAAUUUUGCAGUCAUAAAAAAAAUUAUUAAAAAUUAAUUUUAAAAGAAAAGCGAUACAUGCAUACAUAUUCAUAUAUUAUUAUUAUAACAAAUGUUAAAAAUACAUGAGAAAAAAGCAUAAUAGCAAAUAAUCAACAAUGGUUGUUUUGGAUGAUGUUGGUGAAUGCUUACUAAAUAUUUCCUGGAGCCAGAUGGUUUACCUGAAUGACUUAUUUCAUCUCACAGCAACCCUAUGGUAUAGUUAGUAUUAACGUCGUCUCUAUUCUUCAAUUGUAGAAACUGAGGCACAGGCAAGUACAUUAACAUUCCCAAGGUCAUACAGUUAGUUCAUGGCACAGCUAGGAUAUGAACUUAGUCUAUUAGACCCUAAAAAUCUGUGCUCCAAACCAUUACACAUUCUUCCAAAGACGUGGUAUUUUAUUCCUUCUACUUCCCCAUUUUUUUAUAUAAUAAGCAUGCUUUACUUUUACAACGAAAAAAAAUUUAAGAUUCUCCAUAUUUCUUAUUUGUCAUGUAGAAAAAUAAAAUAGUGUUUAAGGGUCAAUACAUCAAAUUCAAGGUGAUGUACAAAAUAUAUCCUAAAAUUACAGCCUGCUUUUUAGAAUUCUGCUUUGCCUGAAUAAAAAUUGAAUUGUCCAUUUCUUGCUGAGACUGUUUUCAGAGAACAGGCAAAUGCAUAUGUCUUGAUGGAAUGACCCACACCUUGGAAAGAUAGCCUACUGUGACUGCAUCUGCAAUCUGAAGCAUAAUUAUCAAAAGAAUUAAACUAGAAAAAGAAAAAUACAGUGGCAUGAAAUAUGAAGUACAUGGUUUGAAAAAAAAUUAAUGGUGAAGCCAUUUUAUCUUUUUAACAUCAUUAUUUAAUCCUAUUUAAGUUUCUAAAUAUAUUUCUGGGAAAAAUACGUCAUUUAAAAAGUAUGGAUUUUGUGGGCCAGCCCAGUGGUGCAGCAGUUAAGUUCGCACGUUCUGCUUCUCGCUGGCCCGGGGUUCGCUGGUUUGUAUCCCGGGUGUGGACAUGGCACCACUUGGCAAAAGCCAUGCUGUGGUAGGUGUCCCACAUAUAAAGUAGAGGAAGACAGGCAGGGAUGUUAGCUCAGGGCCAGUCUUCCUCAGCAAAAAGAGGAGGAUUGGCAUUAGUUAGCUCAGGGCUA
rnacentral:lncRNA from 1 species